CAGCCCGGGGGCUGCCCUUGCUUUGCUUCUGCUCCAACUCCCCCGGCGGCCCGAAUGAGCAUGUGCGAAGGGUGGGUGCAGAGCUCCUGCCUUUACCUUGCCCCGAGAGCCGCGGUCCAGCGGGAGUGAUAUUUGUAUUUAUUAACUUUAACUGAAGGACUGGAGGUCUGAAAAAGAUACCUUACAAUGAGAGACUGAAGGGGAUCGAUCUAUUUUGAUUAUGGAAGAGAAAGUUAGGGGGCAACUUGAUCAGUCUGCAGUAAUCCAGAUUGCCACCUGCACUAUGCUAUGACAAGGCCACCUGUAACAGUCCAUGCUGCAGCUGUUAGAUUGUUAUGUCAACAAUUCAUGUAUGAAACAAAAGGCCAUGUUUUCUUUUUUGAGGUUUUUAAAAGUUAGACAUAUGUUCACAGGAUAAAUACAAUAGUGAAAUAGCCUUGGGUCCUGGAAACUUUAUAUUUCUAUUUGUAGAAAUGAAAAGUUACAAUCACUCAAAUGCAUGUUCUAAGCAACAGAAUUCAAAGAUAAGAGGACUAAGAAGGAUUAUAUGCGUGUCCAGUAAGGGAACGUUUUAUUCUGUUGGUGGGAAAUGCCUAGGACAGGCAGAUGCCAUCAUGGAUGCUUCAGAUGACACAGAACAGUUAGCAGACCUCUGCCUAUUUUCAAACAUGAUCACUUAUAGAUCUCACUGAUCAACAGACAUGUUCUCUCUAUUUAAAAUACUCAUGAUUUUACUCCUUUAGAUUUCAACAAUAAAAAAUCAAUUUUUCCAAAAUUAUGUGUGACACUGCACCCCAUAUUCUUCAUAGUGGUAAUAUUCUGAUAUGAUUAUGGCAUAAUUAUGAUGCAUUUUGUACAAGACGGAGCAAGAACAGUGUCAUUGGAAAAAUUAUGAUUUGCUGAAUAUGAUCAUCUUAUUUGUAUGCAUAUAUCAUUUUUGUAUCUGAAGUUAUGAAUAUUGACUAUGUAUCUGAAUUUCACAUAUAGUCACACCUGGGCAACACCCACUAGGCAAAAUGCUUCCAGUGUAGAUUACUGUCUGGGAAGGGCCUAUUCAAGGUAAUGGACCAUUAGGAAAAACAAUAGGCCUUAGGAAAAGCUUAUCCCUCACCUGAUGAGACUUCCUGAGAAUGCACCAGACACCCUGUAAGUAAUGGCUGCUAUGAUUCAGCAAGGUAUGCAAGGGUAUGACCAGGCCACAUGACUCUGGACUCCAUUUUGGGAUGUCUGUAUUUUUCUACAAACUGGUCUGGGAACCAAACUUUGAAACAAAGGGUUCCCAUCAUACGCUAAAGCUAUAUAAGGCAGGGAGUGACAUCAUCUGUUGUCCCUCACUCCCCCACAACUGAACACCUAAGAGAAGCUCCUAAAGAAAAGGACUUGGAAUGAGGAUGGGAAUUUGGAUUCCAAAUUGCACAGCAAAGGCAGCUAGUCCCUUAAGAAUCUGCAAGCCUGCUUGUAUCAUCAUCAGUCAGGGUGAGAGACUGCUAAUUCAUAUCCAAUC